rnacentral:rRNA from 1 species
CAAUAGUGUAUCUUAAUAUUGCUGCUGUUAAAAAGCUCGUAGUCACAGACGAGACACAAACCAGGUUGUAUAGGGCUGGGAAAGGCGCUAGAGAAGGCUCCGACGUUGGUGAAAACCGCAGAAGGUCAUACUCGAAACGCUCUACCAGUGGGGAAACCCGUCAUGCCUCAACGCUUACUGGACUAGUGAUCUCUUAAGGGAGUUACUAACUGGAUGCUUGUCCCUGCAAGGACCUCCAGGCUCCAAAGUUACCGUGAAGAAAUGGGAAGGUUCAAAGCAAGUGCCCUUUGGCACAUUGAACAGGCUAGCAUGGGAUAACAGUGAAUCGACCAAGCAGUUUCCUGCAUAAGUCUUCACUUGUUGGCUUCUUAAUGUCUGCGAGGAAAGUUCGGCCACUGGGGAUAAAGGUGUGUGGAGUGGAGCAAUCUGCGAAGCAUGUCUCUCCGGGUUGGCCCACGGGAUGAAUAGGGAAGAGCGGGGGAGUCCGUAUUCCAUGGU